rnacentral:misc_RNA from 1 species
UCCGGCUUAACGCCGGCAGUCUCCCUAGAGUGCCCAACUGAAUGGUGGUAACUAAGGACGAGGGUUGCGCCCGUUGGCGGACUUAACCGUACACCUCACGGCACGAGCUGACGACAGCCAUGCAACAAGUGUCUUCACGUCCUCCUUUUGGGAGGAAGGCCCUAUCUCUAGAGCUUUCGAUCGAUGUCAAACCUGGGUAAGGUUCUUCGGUUAGUAUCGAAUUAAUCCACAUGCUCCACCGCUUGUGCGGGUCCCCGUCAAUUCAUUUGAGUUUUAAUCUUGCGACCGUACUCCCCAGGCGGAGUGCUUAACGCGUUAGCUUUGACACUGCAGGGGUCAAUACCCGCAACAUCUAGCACUCAUCGUUUACAGCAUGGACUAC